rnacentral:rRNA from 1 species
AGUCUCGUGUCGUGAGAUUGGUUUGGGUUUAACGUCCCGACAACGAGCGACACCCCUAUUGUUAGUUGCCAUCAUUCAGUUGGGCACUCUAGCGAGACUGCCGGUAAUAAACCGGAGGAAGGUGGGGAUGACGUCAAAUCAUCAUGCCCCUUAUGACCUGGGCUACACACGUGCUACAAUGGUUGGUACAACGAGUUGCGAGUCGGUGACGGCGAGCUAAUCUCUUAAAGCCAAUCUCAGUUCGGAUUGUAGGCUGCAACUCGCCUACAUGAAGUCGGAAUCGCUAGUAAUCGCGGAUCAGCACGCCGCGGUGAAUACGUUCCCGGGCCUU